GCAAACUUGGUCAUUUAGAGGAAGUAAAAGUCGUAACAAGGUUUCCGUAGGUGAACCUGCGGAAGGAUCAUUACCGAGUUCGGUGCCCUCUGGGUGCCUUCUCCCACCAUCUGUGUACCCAUUCUUGUUGCUUUGGCGGGGCGUGGUUCGCCCCUCCGGCUCACGCUGGAGAGCCCCCGCCAGAGGUUUUUCAAACUCGAUUAAUUUGAAGUCUGAGUAAAACUAAAAAAUUAAAACUUUCAACAACGGAUCUCUUGGUUCUGGCAUCGAUGAAGAACGCAGC
rnacentral:misc_RNA from 1 species